AGAGUUUGAUCCUGGCUCAGGAUGAACGCUGGCGGCGCGCCUAACACAUGCAAGUCGAACGGCACCCCUCUCCGGAGGGAAGCGAGUGGCGAACGGCUGAGUAACACGUGGAGAACCUGCCCCCUCCCCCGGGAUAGCCGCCCGAAAGGACGGGUAAUACCGGAUACCCCGGGGGGGCGUAUGGCACCCCGGCUAAAGCCCCGACGGGAGGGGAUGGCUCCGCGGCCCAUCAGGUAGACGGCGGGGUGACGGCCCACCGUGCCGACAACGGGUAGCCGGGUUGAGAGACCGACCGGCCAGAUUGGGACUGAGACACGGCCCAGACUCCUACGGGAGGCAGCAGUGGGGAAUCUUGCGCAAUGGGGGGAACCCUGACGCAGCGACGCCGCGUGCGGGACGGAGGCCUUCGGGUCGUAAACCGCUUUCAGCAGGGAAGAGUCAAGACUGUACCUGCAGAAGAAGCCCCGGCUAACUACGUGCCAGCAGCCGCGGUAAUACGUAGGGGGCGAGCGUUAUCCGGAUUCAUUGGGCGUAAAGCGCGCGUAGGCGGCCCGGCAGGCCGGGGGUCGAAGCGGGGGGCUCAACCCCCCGAAGCCCCCGGAACCUCCGCGGCUUGGGUCCGGUAGGGGAGGGUGGAACACCCGGUGUAGCGGUGGAAUGCGCAGAUAUCGGGUGGAACACCGGUGGCGAAGGCGGCCCUCUGGGCCGAGACCGACGCUGAGGCGCGAAAGCUGGGGGAGCGAACAGGAUUAGAUACCCUGGUAGUCCCAGCCGUAAACGAUGGACGCUAGGUGUGGGGGGACGAUCCCCCCGUGCCGCAGCCAACGCAUUAAGCGUCCCGCCUGGGGAGUACGGCCGCAAGGCUAAAACUCAAAGGAAUUGACGGGGGCCCGCACAAGCAGUGGAGUAUGUGGUUUAAUUCGAAGCAACGCGAAGAACCUUACCAGGUCUUGACAUCGAGUGACGAACUUAGAGAUAAGUUCUUCCUUCGGGACACGAAGACAGGUGGUGCAUGGUUGUCGUCAGCUCGUGUCGUGAGAUGUUGGGUUAAGUCCCGCAACGAGCGCAACCCUUAUCAUUAGUUGCUACGCAAGAGCACUCUAAUGAGACUGCCGUUGAUAAAACGGAGGAAGGUGGGGAUGACGUCAAAUCAUCAUGCCCCUUAUGACCUGGGCUACACACGUACUACAAUGGUGAUCAAACAGAGGGAAGCAACACAGCGAUGUGAAGCAGAACCCGAAAAAUCAUCUCAGUUCAGAUUGCAGGCUGCAACUCGCCUGCAUGAAGUCGGAAUUGCUAGUAAUCGCGGAUCAGCAUGCCGCGGUGAAUACGUUCCCGGGCCUUGCACUCACCGCCCGUCA
rnacentral:rRNA from 1 species